rnacentral:lncRNA from 1 species
GUGGAAUCCCAAUGCCAGGCAGCCAGGGCCAAAUCCAUAUCCCCCCAACAUCGGGUACCCUGGAGGUUCCAAUCCUGCCCACCCACCACCUGUCAAUCUACCCUUUCCCCCAGGCCCCUUUCCUCCUCCCUCAGGAGCUCCCCAGGGCAAUCCAGCUUUCCCCCCAGGUGGACGCCCUCAUCCUGUGCCACAGCCAGGGUGUCCAACCUUCGGGUCCCUACCUUCCUCCAUACCCACCACCUGCCCCUGGAAUGCCUCCUGUGAAUCCCUUGGCCCCUGGCUUGGUUGGACCAGGAGUGAUAGUGGACAAGAAGAUGUAGAAGAAAAUGAAGAAAGCUCAUAAAAAGAUGCACAAGCACCACAAGCAUGGCAAGCAUUCCUCCUCCUCCUCUUCCUCCUCCUCUUCCAGCAGUGACCCUGA